CUGGCAGCUCUGCUCUCUGAAGGCUCUGAGGGGAUUCGUGGGGGUUUCUCAGUCUUUCUCACUCCUGCAGGAUGAGUGGUCACAGCAGGCGCCUCACAUAUCUCCUCCUCACUGCCUUCCUGAGGCAGCCACUGGGCACCCUGGGGCAGAUCACCGUCACCCAGCAAGAAGGACCAGUCACACUGAAACAGGGAGACACCUUUCGAACAAACUGCACUUACCAGAUAUCAGUGCCUCCAUAUCUGUCCUGGUACCAGCAGAGGAAAGGCCAGGCUCCCCAGCUGGUCUCCUAUCAGGCAGGAACUGGCUCCAAGCGGAACGGCCGUUUCACCACAUCGCUGAACCCCACAGAGAAAUCCAGCCUCCUGCAGCUGGAGGAAGUCGAAGGCUCUGACAGCGCCGUGUACCUCUGUGCUGUGCAGGACACGCUGGUGCAGGAGCUGCCUGGGCUGGGCUUUGCAGAGGUGGCUUUUGGUUUCCACCAGGCAGCAACCAGCGAAAUGGGCAACACUUCCCUGCUGCUCUCUGCUGGCCAUGACCACAGGACUGUAGGAUUGUGA